UCACCUACGGCAGCACAGUGGGAUUGCAACCCACUCCUGAGAGCAGCUGUGUGUGUGUGAGGUACCUCAAGUGCCCACGGUGCCCCUCCAGCUGCAGGUCCAUACUCUUCCCAGGGACACCCUUUCAUUUUUCAUCGUUAUCAAGGAGAGAUAGGAGUUGUUUCAAGCCAGUUAAGUGCACGUGCAGAUAUGAUACUGUAAAGUCUGAAAGAAGCAGAAACAGAUCCUUCCUUGCACCCCAUGGAGCUGAGCAGACAACUGCCUGCACCAGGCCAUGGGCACUGCAGAUCCGGGAAGUGGAGGUUUGUGGUGAGGGAGAAAGUGAAGAUGAAGUGGAAAGAAGGGGAGAGAAAAUAGACACAAUACAUGCAAACCCACACAAACAGCUGAAACAUUGCAAAAAUGUUUAAUGAUAGCUUAUUAAAACCAAGAGGACAAAAUAAUCCACCCAGGAUGGCAACUUGGGGCUGCUCAUUCCCUCUCCAGAAAAAAAGUUUGUGUUUCUCCUGAGGGUCCCAGGAGGCUCAGAGAGCAGAAGACACUGACAAUAUGCUACAGGAAAGAAGGGGGAAAAAAAGGUAAUUACGGAAAAGAUUCAGAGGAAAGCUUGUUUCUGCACAGCUGCCGAGGGCAAGUGGGAGCAGAACGUGCAGCAGGAGCUGCUGGCUCCAGGCUUGCAGGCAAUCAGCGGAUCGCACCCAAGAAGCAAAGCCAGCUGAGGCAGGCUCAUCCUGAGCCACAAAAAGGCUGGAGAAGGGGGGGAAGAGGACUUUGUGCUGCAAGCUACAGGGAGAGGAACUACAGAGGAGAACCUGGGUUGGAUAUGUUGCAUGGGGAAAGACCUGACCUAUGUCCUGUGUUGUCCAGUUUGACUAGUGCUAGAUAAGUUUGAAUGGACAUGGAGAAACUAUCAGAAAAAUACUUGCAUUGGGAGACUGGCUUGCCAAAUGAAGUCCAAAAAAACCCUGAACUUCUGCAAUAGUAAGGUCCAGACAUCCUAACUACAACUGUCAUAAAAUGGAGUGGCGGCAGAAGAUGCAGCACCAAGAAAUGAUAUUGGUUUAGACUCAACAUUGGUAAGUGAAAGAGCACAGUGGAAGAGCUGUAACUGGAAAAUAAUGAUGGACAGAGUGACUUACUUAAAACUUAGGCCAUAUUUGACUUAUUUUAAACAGAACAGACAGAUAAACAGUAGUAGAGUGCUGCCUAAAGGUCCCUGGUUUCAAAAGGGCAAACACGUGUCUUGGAUAUAAAAUAGAAGUUCAGAUGUCUUCAAACCAAAUGCAAAACUCCCCAGAGAAUGCAUGUGAAGCAUGGAAAAAAAUACUCAAGGAGCAGCUCCUGAGUAGCUCCUACCUUGCUGAAAUGAAUAUUGUAAUAGGAACAGAAGGAAUAAGGAGAGAGCAUAAAAAGGGAAAUGAUAAAGCAGCAGAGAAAGUUUUUUAGGGGCUGUGAAGUAGAGAGAUGGAGUGAGAAAUGCCAGAAGUCAAACUGAAUUAGACCUUAGGAAGGAUAUUAAAACAAAUAGUGAAAGGUUCUCCAGCCAUACAAACACAAAGAUAAUAAAGACUGAACAGGCAAUGCUGUGAGCAGGACAGGGGAAGAGUUCACAAAAAUCUAGGUGAGGCCCCAAGACUAAAUGCAUUCUUCUCUGCAGCUCUGAACAGAGACAAUAAUUGUAAGCAUAUGAACUAAGCUGGGUAACCAGCUGGGAAAGUUGUAGAACGGCUUCGUUUGGAGGGGACACUGCAGAUCUAUAGUUCCAACCGCCCUGCUGUGGGCUGGUUACCA